rnacentral:rRNA from 1 species
UACGUAGGGUGCGAGCGUUAAUCGGAAUUACUGGGCGUAAAGCGUGCGCAGGCGGUUUUGUAAGCCAGAUGUGAAAGCCCCGGGCUCAACCUGGGAAUGGCAUUUGGGACUGCAAGGCUUGAGUGCGGCAGAGGAGACUGGAAUUCCUGGUGUAGCAGUGAAAUGCGUAGAUAUCAGGAGGAAUACCGAUGGCGAAGGCGGCAUCCUGGACCAUUACUGACGCUGAGGCGCGAAAGCUAGGGGAGCAAACGGG